GUUUGUUUGAAAGCUAUGUGUGUGUGUUUGAAGCUCUGUGUGUGUGUUUGAAAGCUCUGUGUGUGUGUUUGAAAGCUCUGUGUGUGUGUUUGAAAGCUCUGGGUGUGUGUUUGAAGCUCUGUGUGUGUGUUUGUUUGAAAGCUCUGUGUGUGUGUUUGUUUGAAAGCUAUGUGUGUGUGUUUGUUUGAAAGCUCUGGGUGUGUGUUUGAAGCUCUCUCUCUCUGUGUGUGUGUUUGAAAGCUCUGGGUGUGUGUUUGAAGCUCUGUGUGUGUGUUUGUUUGAAAGCUCUGUGUGUGUGUUUGUUUGAAAGCUCUGGGUGUGUGUUUGUUUGAAAGCUCUGGGUGUGUGUUUGAAGCUCUGUGUGUGUGUUUGUUUGAAAGC
rnacentral:lncRNA from 1 species